rnacentral:rRNA from 1 species
UGGGCAAUCUGCCCUGCACUCUGGGACAAGCCCUGGAAACGGGGUCUAAUACCGGAUAUGACUGUCCAUCGCAUGGUGGAUGGUGUAAAGCUCCGGCGGUGCAGGAUGAGCCCGCGGCCUAUCAGCUUGUUGGUGAGGUAGUGGCUCACCAAGGCGACGACGGGUAGCCGGCCUGAGAGGGCGACCGGCCACACUGGGACUGAGACACGGCCCAGACUCCUACGGGAGGCAGCAGUGGGGAAUAUUGCACAAUGGGCGAAAGCCUGAUGCAGCGACGCCGCGUGAGGGAUGACGGCCUUCGGGUUGUAAACCUCUUUCAGCAGGGAAGAAGCGAAAGUGACGGUACCUGCAGAAAGCGCCGGCUAACUACGUGCCAGCAGCCGCGGUAAUACGUAGGGCGCAAGCGUUGUCCGGAAUUAUUGGGCGUAAAGAGCUCGUAGGCGGCUUGUCACGUCGGUUGUGAAAGCCCGGGGCUUAACCCCGGGUCUGCAGUCGAUACGGGCAGGCUAGAGUUCGGUAGGGGAGAUCGGAAUUCCUGGUGUAGCGGUGAAAUGCGCAGAUAUCAGGAGGAACACCGGUGGCGAAGGCGGAUCUCUGGGCCGAUACUGACGCUGAGGAGCGAAAGCGUGGGGAGCGAACAGGAUUAGAUACCCUGGUAGUCCACGCCGUAAACGGUGGGCACUAGGUGUGGGCAACAUUCCACGUUG